UUAAGCAUAUCAAUAAGCGGAGGAAAAGAAACUAACCAGGAUUCCCCUAGUAACGGCGAGUGAAGAGGGAAAAGCCCAAAUUUGUAAUCUGGCUCUUUCAGAGUCCGAGUUGUAAUUUUAAGAACUGUUUUCCGUGCUGGACCAUUUCUAAGUCUGUUGAAAAAUAGCAUCAUUGAGGGUGAUAAUCCCGUUCAUGAUAUGGACUACCAGUGCAAUGUGAUACAGUUUCUAAGAGUCGAGUUGUUUGGGAAUGCAGCUCAAAGUGGGUGGUAAAUUCCAUCUAAGGCUAAAUAUAGGUGAGAGACCGAUAGCAUACAAGUACCGUGAGGGAAAGAUGAAAAGAACUUUGGAAAGAGAGUUAACAGUACGUGAAAUUGUUGUAAGAGAAACAAUUAAAGUUAGCCUUGUGCUUGUUAGUUCAGCUCUUUAACUAGGGUGUAUUCUAAUGAUGUCACGGACCAACAUCAGUUUUUGGGUGCUGGAUAAGGGCUCCAGAAAUGUAGCAGUUUCGGCUGUGUUAUAGUCUGGGGUUUGGAUACAGUGCUUGGGACUGAGGAUAUCUGCAGCAAGCCAGUCAAAUGGCCGCCCUUUUUAAGGGCUCCCCUGCUGAUGAUGUUGGUGUCAAUAGCUUUAAAUGACGCGUCUUGAAACACGGA
rnacentral:rRNA from 1 species